GUGGUGACCAUGAAACUACUAUUCCUAGUGAUGUGCCUGAUUGGACUUUGUUCUUCCAUUCCUGUGUCUGAGGAACAUGAUCGAGAGGAGCGCUCAGCUAGCAAUGAGAGGUACAGGGGUUAUGGCCGUGGUUUGGGAAGGUUUUACCCCUAUCAGCAGCCUCAGUACCCACCCUACUUCCCUUAUGCGCAGCCUUCUCAAGGUAACUCUGCCUUGAUGGCCCUCCUGCCCUUCCUAUUGGCC